GAUGAAGAACGUAGCGAAACGCGAUAUGUAAUGUGAAUUGCAGAAUUCAGUGAAUCAUCGAAUCUUUGAACGCACAUGGCGCCUUCCAGUAUCCUGGGAGGCAUGCCUGUCCGAGCGUCAUUACAACCCUCAGGCCCCCGGGCCUGGCGUUGGGGAUCGGCGGAGCCCCCCGUGGGCACACGCCGUCCCCCAAAUGCAGUGGCGGUCCCGCCGCAGCUUCCAUCGCGUAGUAGCUAACACCUCGCGACUGGAGAGCGGCGCGGCCACGCCGUAAAACACCCAACUCUUCUGAAGUUGACCUCGAAUCAGGUAGGAAUACCCGCUGAACUUAAGCAUAUCAAUAAGCGGAGGA
rnacentral:misc_RNA from 1 species